UUAUGGCCAUAUCACGUUUAAACAUCGGUUCCCGUACGAUCACUAAAUUUAAGCAACAUCAAGCCUGGUCAGUACAUAGAUGUGUGACCACUUGGGAAUACCAGGUGCUGUACG